rnacentral:tRNA from 1 species
GCAGUGGUGGUUCAGCGGUAGAAUGCUCACCUUCCCUGUGGAAGACCUGGGUUCCAUUCCCAGCCAAUAUA